AUACUCUAGUUUCUCUUCAGAUCAUAUAAAUCUUUCACUUUUUACUAAAGAUUUCCAUGGAGAGAAACAAUUCUAAGUUUUGACCAAUUUUGUGAGGUCUCGGCCCUGCAAGGCC